UGAGGAAUCUUCCGCAAUGGGCGAAAGCCUGACGGAGCGACACCGCGUGAAGGAUGAAGCUUUUAUUAGUGUAAACUUCUUUUCUGUGGGAAGAUAAUGACGGUACCACAGGAAUAAGGGGCGGCAAACUAUGUGCCAGCAGCCGCGGUAAUACAUAGGCCCCAAGCGUUAUCCGGAAUUACUGGGCGUAAAGAGUUCGUAGGCGGAGGGACAAGUCAGGCGUGAAAGGUACGGGCUCAACCCGUUUCUUGCGUCCGAAACUGUCCCCCUGGAAUUGGGGAGAGGUAAGCAGAAUUGUAAGAGUAGGGGUGCAAUCCGUUGAUACUUACAGGAAUACCAAAAGCGAAGGCAGCUUACUGGAACCAUAUUGACGCUGAGGAACGAAAGCGUGGGGAGCGAA
rnacentral:rRNA from 1 species